AUCCAACCAUCUCAUCCUCUGUCAUCCCCUUCUCCUCUCCUUUAUCUGAUAAACCAGACCUGUGGGAGAUAUGUUCAUUUGGAGCACAGGAUGAAUGUGAGGAAACAACAAACCCUCUUGACUCAUUUGCGAUGAAGCAGAAUUCCGAAGAGCUGAAAAGCAGCCCGAGUUGUUCUGGAUGCUGGAGGCAGGAGAGACUGUGGCCGGCUCUCCAUGUGAUCCUCAUCAAUUCAGGAAAGGAAAUAUGUGAAUUUCUUUAAUCCGGGACAUCUCUGGGCAGAUGUAGACACAAGCGAAGAGGAAUCUGAAAGUUUGGUCACAUCUUGGCAGACAUCAGAGUCCUUGCUUGCUGAUAGCUGAAGGAGCAGGCAUAAGCUGUUUCCAGCACUUUCUCACUUUCAUCAAGCCACGAGGAAGAGCGGGUGCAGCUCCUGGUAGCUGCACCCCAGGAGCCUUCUGCCUGAAACCGCUUUUCUCUUUCUCAUCCAGUAAGCCAGCAGCUAAUGCAAGGGGGCUAAUUGAGAUAAUACAAUUACCUCGGAAUGUACUGGUUACUGAAUUUCUUUUUUAAGGGGCCAAGAAAAGCAAACAGGACUAUGCUGCUGUCUCUUAGGCCGUUCUCAUGGCUUUAGGCCAUCACUCCCUGUCAAAAUGAAGGGACAAGAACUGCCUCUGAAAUCAUUAAAUGCAGAGAGAGCAAUAUUUGUGUGGCAGACAGAGCCAAGAAGAUGCUGGGGGAUGUGACCAAAGAGGAAAAGAGCCAAGGCAAGAAAUCAGGCUAAGCAGGAGCAGAAAGAACCUGCCAGUCCUGGAGACAUAAGUGGCCUGUCGGCAUCCUCACAAAGGAUUGCUUCAAUUUACAUUUUUUUAAGGAACGAAAGACAUAGGAGGCCAGAUGCCAUAAUUUCAGACAAAGCAGUAGCUAGAAAAGCCAAUUCUCCUACAGAGAGCUAGACUGUAUAUUGUUUUCAUUAUCCACCCAUAUGCCCUCUGCUUUCACAUAAAACCUAGUGCCCAUUUCCAAAAGGGGAAAUUUACUGCUGUCUGCUAGCCCAUUGUUAUGGAAGCUAUUUGUAUCAGUUAGAAAUAUCUGCAGAUGCAAAUAAAACUUGACUAUCAGGGA